rnacentral:rRNA from 1 species
CCUACGGGGUGCAGCAGUGAGGAAUAUUGGUCAAUGGACGAGCGUCUGAACCAGCCAAGUAGCGUGAAGGAUGACUGCCCUAUGGGUUGUAAACUUCUUUUAUAUGGGAAUAAAAUGUUCCACGUGUGGGAUUUUGUAUGUACCAUAUGAAUAAGGAUCGGCUAACUCCGUGCCAGCAGCCGCGGUAAUACGGAGGAUCCGAGCGUUAUCCGGAUUUAUUGGGUUUAAAGGGAGCGUAGGUGGAUGGUUAAGUCAGUUGUGAAAGUUUGCGGCUCAACCGUAAAAUUGCAGUUGAAACUGGCAGUCGUGAGUACAGUAGAGGUGGGCGGAAGUCGUGGUGUAGCGGUGAAAUGCUUAGAUAUCACGAAGAACUCCGAUUGCGAAGGCAGCUCACUGGACUGCAACUGACACUGAGGCUCGAAAGUGUGGGUAUCAAACAGGAGUAGAUACCCUGGUAGUC